rnacentral:tRNA from 1 species
AAGGGAGACCUAAUUCCGGUAGGAGACGAAAAAAAAGUAGUCCCUACCAAGAAUCAAUCCCAAAAGGUCGGAACGAGGUAUGAGGCUUUCAAACUAGGUUCUGGGUUCAUAAAAGACCUGAAUCAGGAACAAGGGCUAUUAGCUCAGGUGGUUAGAGCGCACCCCUGAUAAGGGUGAGGUCCCUGGUUCGAGUCCAGGAUGGCCCACCUGCACAGGUGGCAAAAACAAGAGAAGCGAGGAAUCAGCACCUUAUCUUGUAUACAUAUAUAAGAGAGAAUGCUGGCUCUGAGUAAAGAGUCCAGAGGAACCUUGAAAACUGCAUAGAGCUAGGUGAAAAAGCCAAAAAAGAAGACCGCAA